UACGUAGGCAGCGAGCGUUGUUCGGAGUUACUGGGCGUAAAGCGUGCGUAGGCGGUGGCCCAAGUCUGGUGUGAAAUCUCCCGGCUCAACCGGGAGGUGCGCCGGAACUGGGUCGCUCGAGUACUGGAGAGGCAAGCGGAAUUCCUGGUGUAGCGGUGAAAUGCGUAGAUAUCAGGAGGAACACCCGUGGUGUAGACGGCUUGGCUGGACAGUCACUGACGCUGAGGCACGAAAGCGUGGGGAGCAAACAGG
rnacentral:rRNA from 1 species